AUCCCUGGCCCUUACCCACUGGAUGCUGGUAACACCCCCUCAGUUGUGACAACCAAAAAUAUCCUUAGAUAUUACCGAAUCUCCCGUGGUCAAGAAUCAUUGCCCUAGCGGCUGAGUGCUCUGGCCACAUCCUCCCUAUGACACUUGUACCUGCCAAGCACCAAACCCAUUAUCCCUCAUGUUCAUGCUCUCGGAGCUUUUGUUUCAGGCUAUCCUUUAUGUUCAUACUUACCGGACUUCCUCAAAACAAAAAAUGCUGGCAGGAGCGAAAGAGGAUGAGGUCCCCACGUUCCCCAUAUGCCUUAAUCUCCCCUCUACUCUGAAUGUUAUCAGGGAGGGCAACAUUGCAGAGUGUUUUUGUGCCACGCCUUGGAAUCGGACAAUACUGGGUUUUAAGGCUGGAUCAGUCACAUACUAGCCGUGUGUCCUAGGGAAAGUUUCUUAACCUAUGAAACCUCAGUUUUCUCAUCAGGGAGAAUAAUAAUUACUAAUAUAUAUUUCAUAUGGUGGUUGUAAGGGUUAAAUGACAUACUGUGUAUAAAGCAUAGUGCUUGGAUGUAAUAAGUGUUUAAUAAAUACCCAUUACAUCACAUUUGUUUGUUAAAUGGCUGGAACAUUCCACUUGGGGAAUGCUUUGAGUUCCUAGGGGAAAAAAAAAUAAUAUGUUUAGGUGACAUUACAUAUAAUUACCAAGUUGGUUAAAAAAAUGAGAUUCGUGAAUUUUAAGCACAUUAUCUCAGCAAAAGGCUGUGAACUGAAGUUGUGGUCUAGAUGUUAGUAGUUGCCAUUGAGAAUAAAUAUAUGAUGUCCACCACUGAAUUUGCUCAAUGUCUAUGGUUUGCUAAAAGAAUGCAGUUACUUCAUCUUAGCUGAAGAUCAGCCAUUAACCAUGACACAGAGCUAUGGAUACAAUAGUUAAGGUUUAUCUCUGUGAGUGUGGGAAGGAAAUGGUAAGAAGAGUAUAUGCCAAUGGCUAGAGGGUGAAUUCGGGCAGAGAGACAAGGAAUGCUUGUUAUGAUGUUUUUGUGGUGUGGGUCAGGUUAGGUCAUCCAAGUGGAAUUACUCUCGUUCCUGCCUUCUCUGGAGAAUGAUGGAAAAAUAAGGGAGGAAAAACAAUCUGAGAAUCUGGUCUCUGUAUAGGGGCCCAAUAUUCAGUAUUACAUAGAAUCUUUUUAUAAAUACGUGAUGUAAAAAUGCUUUAAAAAAUAAUUCCUAUCACUUAUUGUGAUAGCAGUAUCUAGAACAAAUGAUAUGUCAAAGAACUAGAUUUCAAAACAUGCUUUUAUUAUUAUAUUUGUUUAUAUUAUAUUGUAUAUAUUUUAUUAUUAUUAUAUUAAAUGCUUUUAUUAAUAUAUUUGUUUUCCAGCCUGGCCUACUUGGCAACUUUCCUGGCCCUUUUGAAGAGGAAAUGAAGGGUAUUGCCGCUGUUACUGAUAUACCUUUAGGUAAAGUUCACUUAGAAGCUUUAAAAAAAAAGUAAUUAAAUUCUUUUAUAAGUUUCCAUUGAGGUGUGAUAUACAUACAGCAAAGUGCUCAGGUCUUAGGUGUACAGUUCAGUGAAGCUUCAGAAAUGCAUGCAUGCAUGUAGCCAUGACUCAGAUCAAGAUACGGAAGAGCCUAGCACUCCACAAUGCUCCAUCAUGCCCCUUUGCAGAAAAUACUGCCUCCUCCAGUAAACACUAUUCUGAUGUCAUCAUAGAUUAGUUUUGCCUCUUUGUGAACUUUGUAUAAAUAGAACUGAACAAUAUGAACUGUCCUGUGUGAUUUCUUGUAUUUCAUUAUGGGUGGUGUGCUAUUGUAUCAACGGAGUAUUUGGGUUGUUUUCAGAUUUGCGAUAUUAACAAUAAAGGAGUUAUAAAUAUUGUAGUACAUUUGGGGGUGUUCUAUGUACUCAUUUUUCUGGAUAUAUACCUAGGAAGUGAACUGUUGUGUUAUAGAGUAAUUGUAUGUUUAGCCAUGUAGAUUCUGCCAAACGGUUUUCCAAAUGAUUCCAGCAGUUGACAAUCAGCAGAGUAUGAGAGUUUCAGUUUUCUCCACUUGAUAAAUUCUUCUCUUGGUAGUGUCAGUGUUUUCUUUUUCCUUUUUUUUUUUUGAUAGUGUCAGUCUUUAUUUGAGCCUUUUUGUUGAGUGUCACAGUGUCGCAUUUUAGUUUCAAUUUGCAUUUCCUUGAUGACUAAUGAGAUUGAACAGUUUAUUGACUUGACUUGUUUUUUUUUUGGUUUCUUUGUUUCUUUUGGAGAAGGGCUUGUGAAGGUCUUUUGCCCUUUUAAAAAUUAGACUGAAGGAAUUCUUUACAUACUUUGAACAUAAGCCCUUUGUCAGAUAUAUGGAUUCUGAAUAUCUGCUCCCAGUCUAUGACUUUCAUUUUUAUUCUCUUACUGGUGUCUUUUGAUGAACAGAAAUUUUUAAUUUUAGUGAAGUCUAAUAUCUCAGUCUUCUCUUUUAUGAGUAGUGCCUCUGUAUCCAUUUAAGGAAUCUUGGCCUACCCCAAAGUCAUAUAUAUGCUUACAUAUUUUCUUCUAGAUGUUUAAUGUUUACUUUUUACAUUUAGGCCUAUGAUCUAUUUUGAAAUAUUUUUGUAUAUACUGUGACUUACGGGUCAAGCUUCAGGUUUUUCUCAUAUGGUAUAUCCAGUUAGUUAAACACCAUUAAUUCAAAAGGCUAUCCUUUCCUCAGCAAAUUGCAGUGGUGUCUUUGAUAUAAAUAUACAAUACAUGUAUAUACACACACACACACACACACACACACAAUGUGUAUCUGUAUAUACAAUCAGGUGAUAGUAUAUAUGUUGUUUUGUUUGGGGAACUAUUAUUAAGUUUCAUUUACAUAUUUGUCUUUUUGUCUUCCCUUGUAUCAAUACUAUUUUACCUCAGUUACUAAAGCUUUAUAGUAAGUCUUCAAAUUAGGUAGUAUAAUUCUUCCAACUUUGUUUUUCUCAACAUUUAUUUAAGUUACUGAUUUCUCUGAGCAGUAUCUUUUAUUUUCAGGGAGAAGGCCUUGCAUGUCAUUCAUUAAAAUUAUUCUUAGAUAUUGAUGGUUUGGGAAGUUAUUUUUAAAAUUUCAAUUUAAGCUUUAUGGCGUGUAAUGAAAAAGAUUUUCCCCACGACCUCAAAAGUCUUAUCUUUAACGUAGCAAAGCAGUAGUGUCAUUAUUUUAAAUAGCCAAUAGUACCUUCAUUUUAUAAGAGAGAUGAUUGAGAAUUUGUGAAAAUCAGUAGUAUUUAUCAACAAAAGUGGCUAGUUUUGUGUGCUGCUUCUUUAAAAAUAUGAUUUAAAAGAUAGCAUACUGGAAAUAUAUACUUGCUGCCUUUAUGAAAAGCAAGUCUAAUUCCUUUAUUAUGUAAAGAACUCUAGCAACUCAAUACCAAAUAGAAAUACCUUAUGGAUUAAGAAGAAUAACAUGAUGUAUAAGUGGUGUAAAUUUAUAGAAUUAUUAUAAAUUAUUGUAAAUUUAUAGGAUUAUUAUAAAUUAUUGUAAAUUUAUAAUAAAAUAACUAGAAUUUCACCAAAUUAGAAAUUUAAUGGAAAUAAAAUAAACAUUGGAUUUGGGUGAAAAAAACAUGUUGAGCUUAACAUGUUAAUGUUAAGUGGGACAGAAAUACAAUGUGUUCCUACCUUUGAAUUAAAUGCUAAAUAGCAGUAUUAUACAUUUUGGGAAAAUAUUCAAAAAAUAAAAUACCCUAGAAUGGAGUUUCUUGGCACCUCUGUACUAAUUUUAAUAGUUCUUGAAUCUCCUUUUUCACUUUAGAAAUUUUAGUCACACUUUAAAAAUCUGGGCAAAAUAUAUUUCCAGCAAACAGCCAAGAGCCAGAUGUAUUAAAUGAUCAUAUUUACGCUCCCAAAAGAAAAUUCAAAAUGAAGCAUGUUGAUAAACAUUUUGGACGUGAUGUUGGAGAACAACUGCAACCCGCCCAGAUGUUCAGCUCGCCCAGAGGCUGCCUCCUUGGUGACUUGUUUCAUCUUGAGUCUAGAGAGUCCGGUUUGGGGAAGAAAACCACAUCCAGCCGGCCGUUCUAGCACAGCCCCACUGGCCAAAGCACACACUCACACAAUGAAAACACUUAAACUUUUUCUUAAAACAAAUUUUUCUCCCAUUGUCAUGGUUCUGUAUAUUAACACAAAAUUUUCUUUUCUUUUCUCAUAGGAGAGAUUAUUUCAUUCAAUAUUUUUUAUGAAUUAUUUACCAUUUGUACUUCAAUAGUAGCAGAAGACAAAAAAGGUAAUUGUGCACUGAGGGAGGGUGGGCAGCAUGAAGCACUACAUAAAGAAAAAUCUUCUAAAUAAAAUUAGAACUUCUAAAAUUUGGGCUUGCUAUGUAAAUUCUGUGUUGUGUUGCAUACGGCUUUUUAUUUCUUGGUAAAUUUUUGUGAUUGUACUGAAAAUUUUCCUUAUUUUCAGACUACUAUACUGCCUAUUAAAGUUGAUUUCAGACAUGCAAAAAACCUGGAAGAAAUGUUUCAGGGCUAGAAACAUUCUUCUUUUCCUCAUAGUCUACUUAUACCCAUCCACAUGAUUUGAUAGAAGUGCUCGCAGGAGGUACUUCCUUAUCUUCGUGUAUGUCAUGACAGCUGUCCUUUUCUUGAGGCCCAGAACACACAUUCUCCCAUCCUUUCCCAGCCAGGCAACCCAAUGGAUACCAGCCUCACUUUCCCGUAUUUUUCCUGACUGGUUCCCAGAGUACAAAGCACAGGACAACUUCGUUAACUCACCCUGGUCUUCGACAUAUACUCUGGGUAUAAAUCUGCCUGUACCUUACCCUUGAGAUGUCCUGCUCUAGGGGACAAUGCCUGAACGGAAACAUUUGAUGAAUCACAGUAAUUGAGGCUCAGAUUUCUCUGUCCUGGUAGAACCAUGUGAUAGUGAACUAAAACAUCACCAUCGAUUCCUUUUCCCAUAUUCUGAUCUUACCUGGAAACCCGUGCUCUCAGAUUUUGUGGGGUUAUCUGGCAGAUUGACAGUGACAACAGUCCCAUCUGGUGAAGGCUUAGGAUAUUAGGAUGUUUCUUAACUUCUUAUUGUUUGAAGAAACAGUUGUGAAUAUAAAUUAAUCAAAAUUAGAGGCCAGGCACAGUGGCUUACACCUGUAAUGCCAGCACUUUGGGAGGCCGAGGCGGGCAGAUCAUCUGAGGUUGGGAGUUUGAGACCAGACUGGCCAACAUGGUAAAACCCCGUCUCUACUAAAAAAAAAAUACAAAAAAAAAAACAAAAAAAAAACUAGCCAAGUGCGGUCGCACGUGUCUGUAAUCCUAACUACGUGGAAGGCUGAGGCACAAGAAUUGCUUGAACCUGGGAGGCAAAGGCUGCAGUGAGCUGAGAUUGCACCACUGCACUCCAGUCUGGCCAACAGAACGAGACUCUGUCUCAAAAAUAAAUUAAUUAAUCAAAAUUAAUUGUCCAGCUUUGAUUUAGAAUCUUAACUGCUAUUACACGUCUCUUCUGUCUACCUUCAAAAAGGUCAUCUAAUACACGGGAGAAACAUGGAUUUUGGAGUAUUUCUUGGGUAAGUAAAAAACACAGGGUCAGGCAUGGUGGUUCACGCCUGUAAUCUCAGCACUUUGGGAGGCUGACACGGGUGGAUCACGAGGUCAGGAGUUCAAGACCAGCCUGGCCAAGAUGGUGAAACCCCGUCUCUACUAAAAACACAAAAAUUAGCCAGGCAUGGUGGUGGGCAUCUGUAAUCCCGGCUACUCGGGAGCCUGAGGCAGAGAAUUGCUUGAACCUGCGAGGCGGAGAUUGCAGUGAGCCGAGAUUGU
rnacentral:sRNA from 1 species